rnacentral:rRNA from 1 species
AUUGAACGCUGGCGGCAUGCUUUACACAUGCCAGUCGGACGGCAGCGGGGUAGUGCUUGCACUACUGCCGGCGAGUGGCGAACGGGUGAGUAAUAUAUUGGAACGUACCGAGUAAUGGGGGAUAACCAAUCGAAAGAUUGGCUAAUACCGCAUACGCUCUGAGGAGGAAAGCCGGGGACCUUCGGGCCUUGCGUUAUUCGAGCGGCCAAUAUCUGAUUAGCUAGUUGGUGGGGUAAGGGCCUACCAAGGCGACGAUCAGUAGCGGGUCUGAGAGGAUGAUCCGCCACACUGGGACUGAGACACGGCCCAGACUCCUACGGGGGGCAGCAGUGGGGAAUUUUGGACAAUGGGCGCAAGCCUGAUCCAGCCAUGCCGCGUGUCUGAAGAAGGCCUUCGGGUUGUAAAGGACUUUUGUUAGGGAAGAAAAAGGAGCGGUUAAUACCCGUUUCUGCUGACGGUACCUAAAGAAUAAGCACCGGCUAACUACGUG